AUAAACUGAAAAUUUAGGAACCGGUCAGUCGCCAACCAUGUUGGUUGGUGGAUGAUUGAUUCCUAAAAUUUCAGUUAAU